AGGAUGUGGCGUUGCCCAGACAACUAGGAUGUUGGCUUAGAAGCAGCCAUCAUUUAAAGAGUGCGUAAUAGCUCACUAGUCGAGUGACACUGCGCCGAAAAUGUACCGGGGCUAAACAUAUUACCGAAGCUGUGGAUUGUCCUUUGGACAAUGGUAGGAGAGCGUUCUAAGGGCGUUGAAGCAUGAUCGUAAGGACAUGUGGAGCGCUUAGAAGUGAGAAUGCCGGUGUGAGUAGCGAAAGACGGGUGAGAAUCCCGUCCACCGAUUGACUAAGGUUUCCAGAGGAAGGCUCGUCCGCUCUGGGUUAGUCGGGUCCUAAGCUGAGGCCGACAGGCGUAGGCGAUGGAUAACAGGUUGAUAUUCCUGUACCACCUAUAAUCGUUUUAAUCGAUGGGGGGACGCAGUAGGAUAGGCGAAGCGUGCGAUUGGAUUGCACGUCUAAGCAGUAAGGCUGAGUAUUAGGCAAAUCCGGUACUCGUUAAGGCUGAGCUGUGAUGGGGAGAAGACAUUGUGUCUUCGAGUCGUUGAUUUCACACUGCCGAGAAAAGCCUCUAGAUAGAAAAUAGGUGCCCGUACCGCAAACCGACACAGGUAGUCAAGAUGAGAAUUCUAAGGUGAGCGAGCGAACUCUCGUUAAGGAACUCGGCAAAAUGACCCCGUAACUUCGGGAGAAGGGGUGCUCUUUAGGGUUAACGCCCAGAAGAGCCGCAGUGAAUAGGCCCAAGCGACUGUUUAUCAAAAACACAGGUCUCUGCUAAACCGUAAGGUGAUGUAUAGGGGCUGACGCCUGCCCGGUGCUGGAAGGUUAAGAGGAGUGGUUAGCUUCUGCGAAGCUACGAAUCGAAGCCCCAGUAAACGGCGGCCGUAACUAUAACGGUCCUAAGGUAGCGAAAUUCCUUGUCGGGUAAGUUCCGACCCGCACGAAAGGCGUAACGAUUUGGGCACUGUCUCAACGAGAGACUCGGUGAAAUCAUAGUACCUGUGAAGAUGCAGGUUACCCGCGACAGGACGGAAAGACCCCGUGGAGCUUUACUGUAGCCUGAUAUUGAAAUUCGGCACAGCUUGUACAGGAUAGGUAGGAGCCUUUGAAACGUGAGCGCUAGCUUACGUGGAGGCGCUGGUGGGAUACUACCCUAGCUGUGUUGGCUUUCUAACCCGCACCACUUAUCGUGGUGGGAGACAGUGUCAGGCGGGCAGUUUGACUGGGGCGGUCGCCUCCUAAAAGGUAACGGAGGCGCUCAAAGGUUCCCUCAGAAUGGUUGGAAAUCAUUCAUAGAGUGUAAAGGCAUAAGGGAGCUUGACUGCGAGACCUACAAGUCGAGCAGGGUCGAAAGACGGACUUAGUGAUCCGGUGGUUCCGCAUGGAAGGGCCAUCGCUCAACGGAUAAAAGCUACCCCGGGGAUAACAGGCUUAUCUCCCCCAAGAGUUCACAUCGACGGGGAGGUUUGGCACCUCGAUGUCGGCUCAUCGCAUCCUGGGGCUGUAGUCGGUCCCAAGGGUUGGGCUGUUCGCCCAUUAAAGCGGUACGCGAGCUGGGUUCAGAACGUCGUGAGACAGUUCGGUCCCUAUCCGUCGUGGGCGUAGGAAAUUUGAGAGGAGCUGUCCUUAGUACGAGAGGACCGGGAUGGACAUACCUCUGGUGUACCAGUUGUCGUGCCAACGGCAUAGCUGGGUAGCUAUGUGUGGACGGGAUAAGUGCUGAAAGCAUCUAAGCAUGAAGCCCCCCUCAAGAUGAGAUUUCCCAACUUCGGUUAUAAGAUCCCUCAAAGAUGAUGAGGUUAAUAGGUUCGAGGUGGAAGCAUGGUGACAUGUGGAGCUGACGAAUACUAAUCGAUCGAAGACUUAAUCAA
rnacentral:rRNA from 2 species